GAUGAACGCUGGCGGCGUGCCUAAUACAUGCAAGUCGAGCGAACGGACGAGAAGCUUGCUUCUCUGAUGUUAGUGGCGGACGGGUGAGUAACACGUGGAUAACCUACCUAUAAGACUGGGAUAACUUCGGGAAACCGGAGCUAAUACCGGAUAAUAUUUUGAACCGCAUGGUUCAAAAGUGAAAGACGGUCUUGCUGUCACUUAUAGAUGGAUCCGCGCUGCAUUAGCUAGUUGGUAAGGUAACGGCUUACCAAGGCAACGAUGCAUAGCCGACCUGAGAGGGUGAUCGGCCACACUGGAACUGAGACACGGUCCAGACUCCUACGGGAGGCAGCAGUAGGGAAUCUUCCGCAAUGGGCGAAAGCCUGACGGAGCAACGCCGCGUGAGUGACGAAGGUCUUCGGAUCGUAAAACUCUGUUAUUAGGGAAGAACAUAUGUGUAAGUAACUGUGCACAUCUUGACGGUACCUAAUCAGAAAGCCACGGCUAACUACGUG
rnacentral:rRNA from 1 species